rnacentral:rRNA from 1 species
AAUAGAUACCCGGGUAGUCCUGGCCGUAAACGAUGACCACUAGAUGUGUGGGGUAUCGACCCCCUACGUGUCGUAAGCCAACGCGAUAAGUGGUCCGCCUGGGGAGUACGGUCGCAAGAUUAAAACUCAAAGGAAUUGACGGGGACCCGCACAAGCAGCGGAGCGUGUGGUUUAAUUCGAUGCAACGCGAAGAACCUUACCAGGAUUUGACAUGCUUUCGCACCGCCCGUAACGGGGCGUGCCCGCAAGGGACGGAAGCACAGGUGCUGCAUGGCUGUCGUCAGCUCGUGUCGUGAGAUGUUGGGUUAAGUCCCGCAACGAGCGCAACCCUUAUCAAUAGUUGCCAGCGGUUCGGCCGGGCACUCUAUUGAGACUGCCGUUGACAAAACAGAGGAAGGUGGGGAUGACGUCAAGUCCUCAUGGCCUUUAUGUCCAGGGCUACACACGUGCUACAAUGGCAAGUACAAAGCGCUGCAAACCUGCAAGGGGGAGCCAAUCGCAAAAAGCUUGUCUCAGUUCGGA